UACGAAGGGUGCAAGCGUUAAUCGGAAUUACUGGGCGUAAAGGGUGCGUAGAUGGCCUGUUAAGUCGGAUGUGAAAGCCCCGGGCUCAACCUGGGAACGGCAUCCGAUACUGGUGGGCUGGAGUGCGGUAGAGGAGAGCGGAAUUCCCGGUGUAGCGGUGAAAUGCGUAGAGAUCGGGAGGAACAUUCGUGGCGAAGGCGGCUCUCUGGAUCGGCACUGACAUUGAGGCACGAAAGCGUGGGGAGCAAACAGG
rnacentral:rRNA from 1 species